rnacentral:rRNA from 1 species
UACGUAGGCAGCGAGCGUUGUUCGGAGUUACUGGGCGUAAAGCGUGCGUAGGCGGUGUCUUAAGUUUGUUGUGAAAUCUCCCGGCUUAACCGGGAGGGUGCGGCGAAUACUGAGAUGCUGGAGUGCGGGAGAGGUAAGCGGAAUUCCUGGUGUAGCGGUGAAAUGCGUAGAUAUCAGGAGGAACACCUGCGGUGUAGACGGCUAUCUGGACGGUUACUGACGCUGAGACACGAAAGCGUGGGUAGCAAACAGG